AUUGAACGCUGGCGGCAGGCCUUACACAUGCAAGUCGAACGAGUGGCGGACGGGUGAGUAAUAUAUGGGAACCUGCCUGGUGGAGGGGGAUAACUACUCGAAACGGUAGCUAAUACCGCAUACCAUCCGAGUGGCCGAUAUGGGAUUAGCUAGUUGGGGGGGUAAUGGCUCACCAAGGCCACGAUCCCUAGCUGGUCUGAGAGGAUGACCAGCCAAACUGGAACUGAGACCCGGCCCAGACUCCGAAGGUAGGCAGCAGUGGGGAAUAUUGGACAAUGGGGGCAAGCCUUAUGCAGCCAUGCCGCGUGUAUGAUGAAGGCCUUCGGGUUGUAAAGUACUUUCAGCAGGGAAGCGUUACCCGCAGAAGAAGCACCGGCUAACUCCGUGCCAGCCGCCGCGGUAAUUC
rnacentral:rRNA from 1 species